rnacentral:rRNA from 1 species
UACGUAGGGGGCGAGCGUUGUCCGGAUUUACUGGGUGUAAAGGGUGCUCAGGCGGGUCUGUAAGUCAGGGGUGAAAUCCCAGAGCUUAACUCUGGAACUGCCUUUGAUACUGCAGAUCUCGAGUUUUGGAGAGGCGAGUGGAAUAUCUGGUGUAGCAGUGAAAUGCGUAGAUAUCAGAUAGAACACCAAUGGCGAAGGCAGCUCGCUGGCCCAAUACUGACGCUAAAGCACGAAAGCGUGGGGAGCAAACAGG